GAAGAUGCAACUAAGGCGUGUGCUCCAGAAUGAGCUGGAAACCCAGACCUGAUUCAGAAUGAGAAGCUGAGGCCCAGAUGGAGGAAGUGAUCGGGUCCAAGGUCACAGAAAUAGGCAGAAGUGGAGCCAGGAACAGAAUCCAGAUCCCCCGAUCCGCUGCUUUAGCCGCUAGGCCACAUUCCCCUGCCAGAGCUCAGAAUAGAACCCAGGAGUCCUGGACCAAGUCUCUGCUGCAGCCACAAGACCCCACUCCCUUUCUGGAACCAGGAGUAGAACCCAGCAGUCCUGGCUCCAGUGCCCCUCUCCUAGCCACUAGCCUGCGCUUUCCCCCAGGGCUAAUCCACUGUAUAAAUAAAGCCCCCGAAAGAGGUUUAA